rnacentral:lncRNA from 1 species
AGACUCUGUCUCAAAAAACAAAAAGGACAAAAUCAUAUGUUGAUACAGAAUACAGCCUGGUGCAGUGGCUCAGGCCUGUAAUCCCAGCACUUUGGGAGGCCGAUGUAGGCGGAUCACUUGAGGUCAGGAGUUCAAGACCAGCUUGAGCAACGUGGUGAAACCCCAUCUCUACUAAAUAUACAAUAUUAGCCGGACGUGGUGGCGUACGACUGUAAUCCCAGCUACUCAGGAGGCUGAGGCAGGAGAAUCGCUUGAACCCGGGAAGUGAAGGUUGCAGUGAGCCGAGAUCGCGCCAUUGCACUCCAGCCUAGGCAACAAGAGCGAAACUCUGACUCAAAAACAAACAAAAAAAAGAUACAGAAUACAACUUAUGGGUAAAGAAAGACUACGAUGUCUCUAAUAUGAGACAAGCACAGUGUGACGCAGCUGGAAUAUAUUACAUGGCCUAAUCUUCACAGCCACCCAGUGAAGCAGCUCCUAUGAUUAUCCCAGGCAGGAUCCAAAUCCAGCCUGAGUGACCCACGUGCCUGCUGUUGCCCCAGACAAGUCAUUUAACUCCCUAAACCUCCGUGCUUAAUGGAGAUACACUUCACAGUGUUAAACACAAAUGAAAUCAGCUACACAUUUCACCCUUAAUCACUGUGCCGUUCUGCUUUCCAACUAUGUGAAAGUGUCUGUUCUCAACAUCCAGUGCUGUCCAAGAGGACUUCCUGUCCUGAUGAACAUGUUCUAGAUCUGUGCUGUCUGGUGUGAUCUCAGCUCACUGCAACCUCUGUCUCCAGGGUUCAAGCAAUUCUCCUGUCUCCAGGAGUUCAAGACCAGCCUGGG